AUAAUCUGGUGAGGAAGAUCAACACGUAGGCCUAGACCAAGAUGAAGUUUACAAACUCCUGAGCUGAUUAGGCCUAUGCUUGAGCCCAGUGAUGAGGAGCCUCAACAACAAGAACCACCAACUGAAAGUUGGGAUCCUACACCUGGUCAGGAGAGAGAUCAGGGUGCAGCUGAGAUUCAAGUGCCUGACCUGGAAACUGAUCUCCAGGAGCUGUCUGAGUCAAAGACUGGGGAUGAAUGCAGAGAUGGUCCUGAUGUCCAGGAGAAAAUUCUGCUAAAUUUAGAGCAAUUUAAAAUGCCAGAAGGAG
rnacentral:lncRNA from 1 species